rnacentral:rRNA from 1 species
AAGCGGGUGGUAACUCCAUCCAAGGCUAAAUACUAGCACGAGUCCGAUAGCGAACAAGUACCGUGAGGGAAAGUUGAAAAGUACUUUGAAGAGAGAGUAAACAGUGCGUGAAACCGUUCAGAGGUAAACAGGUGGAGUUGAACUGCAAGCUCUGAGGAUUCAGCUGGUGAGUAUGGCAUGAGCUUGGUCAUGUGGGUUGUGUGCCCGGGUCUGCUUAGCUGCAGGUCCCCGCUUCGGUGGGGGUGCGCGUAUCACUCAUCAGGUGUUGUGCGCCCGGGUAUUGACGAACCUGCUUGCCAGUGCACUUUCUCAGAGUGUUCACCACGACCGGCGUUGCCGUCUGGCUGUUGCGGUUAAACCGGCCUGGUAGGGUCCUCGUGGCCUUGCUAGGUCGGGAUGGCAGGUAGCCUGUUGUGCAGUUUACUGUGCUUCUGGUGUAAUAGCCGACUGCUUCGGUUCUGUGCGGUACGUCGGAGACGGCGGCUUGUUGUGCGUGCGGGCGUGCCUGUUGCGCUGGCGGCGCUGGGUCUGGUUGCCUUGUUGCUUGUAGAUACAGGCCAGGUGAUGGCUCGGUGUCGUUCGGUCAGCGGUCGCGUUCGUUGCACUUUGAAAGGGCCCACAGUCUGUGGUGUAGUGGUAUACUAUCCACCUGACCCGUCUUGAAACACGGACCAAGGAGAGUAACAUGUGCGCGAGUCAUUGGGCGUUACGAAACCCAAAGGCGCAGUGAAAGUAAAGG